AACUAUAAGUGGGGUUUAUUUCAUAAAUAAGCUAUCACAUAAUUUUUGGAUAUUUAUUUGGAGUUGAAAAACUAUUUUAUUUAAAUAGUUUUAUAGCCCUAAAGGCAUUUAUAGGGCAAAUGUAUUUUUAUAGAUUUUAUUUUGAAGGGAAAUUAUUCCCAAAAGUUGAAUCAUGAUAGAACAUGAUUUUACAAAUUUUCUGGAAUUUAUUUGGACCAAUUUGGAUUCAAAAUCAAAAGAUAUCAAAGAACUCAGAAAAAGAAAAAGAGAAAAGGCUAAAAGAAAAAAAAGGGGGAAGAAACGGACCGGCCCGGCCGUUUUGGGCCGAACCGGCCUGCUUAUCGUGCGCGCACCGCAGCCCAGCAGCCGAGCGCCCGCACGCGCGUGCCCCCGCAGCCGCUGACAGGUGGGGCCCACCUGUCAGGGCCUUCUUCUUCCCCGGAAGGAAAGCCCCGCGAUCCCCGCGCCCCGCCGUCCCCGCGCGCCAUCGCCGCUCUCGCUGAUUCCGGCCUUCUCGAAGCAAGCGGCCUGCGCCCCUAUAAAGCCAAAGCGCCCCGCAUCCUUUCCCCUCUCUUGUCUCCCCGUUUCACUGCGCCCACGCUGCCAAAUUCCUCACCGGAGUAGCCACUGCCGCCGCCGAUUUUAGGUCGUCUCCGACGAGAGAGUGAGCCCCCGACGCCGCGCCCAGCACCACUUUGCUCCUCUCGGAUUUGCGCAUCUUUCGACUCGCAAAAUUCUCAUUUUGGUGCCCCCGUCGUGCAGCUUGCCGGAGACCGAAGCCCAUGCCACCGCCGACCGGAGCCGUCGUCCUAGGCGACGCCCUCGACCCCGACUCGCCCCGUCGACCGCGUCACCCGUUCCGUCG
rnacentral:lncRNA from 1 species